AUUUAAGCAUAUAAUUAAGCGGAGGAAAAGAAACUAACUAGGAUUCCCUCAGUAACGGCGAGUGAAGCGGGACUAGCUCAGGAUGUGAAUCUGCGCUUUAUUGGCGCCGAAUUGUGGUCUGUAGACUUUGACGUUAUCUGCCGGGCCAAGUUCCUUGGAAAAGGACAGCUGAGAGGGUGAGACUCCCGUCCGCCUGGUUGAGUGAGUCAUUUGUCAACGAGUCGAGUUGUUUGGGAUUGCAGCUCUAAUUUGGUGGUAAAUUCCAUCUAAAGCUAAAUAUUGGUGGGAGACCGAUAGCGUACAAGUACCGUGAGGGAAAGAUGCAAAGAACUUUGAAAAGAGAGUUAAAGAGUACCUGAAACUGCUGAAACGGAAGCGAAGGAAACCAGUGUUUGUUUGUUCAUAUUUCCCUGGCCACUUGUGGUUUGGGCGCUGUGAGCUUGCGUGAGUUUGGGUUGGUUGAUCCCUUUGGAAGAGCGCAGUCAGAGUUGAUGUCUGUUGCUAGCACUGGGUUUGACUGAUGCAGACGAAAUGGUUUUCUUUACCCCGUCUUGAAACACGGACCAAGGAGUCUAACAUAUGUGCGAGUACAGGGGUGUCAAACCCCGGUGCGUAAUGAAAGUGACAGUGGUUGGAAUUUUGCACAAUCCGCCGGCCUCAAUCCUUCGGGAGAACGGUCUGAGUGUGAGCAUACAUGUUGGGACCCGAAAGAUGGUGAACUAUGCCUGAAUAGGGUGAAGCCAGGGGAAACUCUGGUGGAGGCUCGUAGCGAUUCUGACGUGCAA
rnacentral:rRNA from 1 species